UACAGAGACUGCAAGCGUUAUUCGGAUUCACUGGGCGUAAAGGGUGCGCAGGCGGCCGUGUGUGUCAGGUGUGAAAGCCCGGAGCUUAACUCCGGAAUUGCGCCUGAAACUACAUGGCUAGAGCAUUGGAGAGGGUAGCGGAAUUCACGGUGUAGCAGUGAAAUGCGUAGAGAUCGGGAGGAACAUCAGUUGCGAAGGCGGCUCUCUGGACCAGCACUGACACUGAGGCACGAAAGCGUGGGGAGCAAACAGG
rnacentral:rRNA from 1 species